rnacentral:rRNA from 1 species
UGGGGAAUUUUGGACAAUGGGCGCAAGCCUGAUCCAGCAAUGCCGCGUGUGUGACGAAGGCCUUCGGGUUGUAAAGCACUUUUGUUCGGGAAGAAAUCCGCCGGGCUAAUAUCCUGGCGGGAUGACGGUACCGGAAGAAUAAGCACCGGCUAACUACGUGCCAGCAGCCGCGGUAAUACGUAGGGUGCGAGCGUUAAUCGGAAUUACUGGGCGUAAAGCGUGCGCAGGCGGCGCUGUAAGACAGAUGUGA